rfam:Heterocephalus glaber contig51166, whole genome shotgun sequence.
UAUUAACGGGAGGAGGGGCCCGCCCCAGGCCCUGCAACAAUGUUAUGGGGCA